AGAUAGAAAAGUGAAGAUCUGCCUGUGUAUAUAUAGGGUUUCUCUUUGCCAAAACUGCAAGAAUAUUUAUAUUGUUUUGCUUCUGAAGGACGCUAGAAAAAAAUGGACGUAGAGCUGGAAUGUCAGAAAUCACUAGCUCAAAACUUCCACAGUAAUUAUACAGAAAAAAAACCAAUGCAGAAACUUCCGUGACACACGUUUGGAAAGGUGAAUUAGACGACAGUAUAUAGCGUCCAAGGAAGAAAAUGAUUAUUCAGCACGAUCUAACCCUUCAGUCUCUUUGUCCCAAGACAUCCUCACCAGUAGCUUGUAAUAAUGCCGAAAGAGAGAGAGAAGAGAGGAAGCAAUGCUGAAAGAAAAAGAGAGAGAUAUGGAGGGAGAGAGGGAGGGAGGGAUAUGGAGAAAAGGAGAGAGAAUCUCUCUUUAUAGAAGCUCUGCUUUGGCUUCAGGUUUAGGUUUGCUUUUCUCUCUUCUUUUUUAAAAUGAGAUUUGUAUUAAUCCAGGAAGAGGAUGUGUUAUUAGAUAAUACGAUGUAGAAUGUGUUUGUAAGUAUGGAUUAUGUAUGUAAUAUAAGGUUUUGCAUGGUAAGUACAACGGUCGACAACGUUAAUAUUUUUUAAACUUCAUUUGAACUUAAAAGUGGGCGAAUCUAUCUUUGAACGAC
rnacentral:lncRNA from 1 species